CCUAGCCCAAGAGAUCGGGAUAACACCUGGAAACAGAUGCUAAUACCGGAUAACAACAGAUGAUGCCUAUCAACUGUUUAAAAGAUGGUUCUGCUAUCACUCUUGGAUGGACCUGCGGUGCAUUAGCUAGUUGGUAGGGUAACGGCCUACCAAGGCGAUGAUGCAUAGCCGAGUUGAGAGACUGAUCGGCCACAUUGGGACUGAGACACGGCCCAAACUCCUACGGGAGGCAGCAGUG
rnacentral:rRNA from 1 species